GACAGAGGAGGCAAGCGUUGUUCGGAAUCAUUGGGCUUAAAGCGCGCGUAGGCGGCCUUGUAAGUGUCCUGUGAAAUCCCACGGCUCACCCGUGGAACUACAGGGCAAACUGCAAGACUUGAGGUCGGUAGAGGCGCCUGGAACUCUAGGUGGAGCGGUGAAAUGCGUAGAUAUCUAGGGGAACGCCGGAGGCGAAAGCGGGGCGCUGGGCCGAUUCUGACGCUGAUGCGCGAAAGCGUGGGGAGCAAACAGG
rnacentral:rRNA from 1 species